rnacentral:rRNA from 1 species
GACGAACCGUGCGAACGUUAUUCGGAAUCACUGGGCUUAAAGGGCGCGUAGGCGGGCCCUCAAGUCAGGGGUGAAAUCCUCCAGCUCAACUGGAGAAGUGCCUUUGAUACUGGGGGCCUCGAGGGAGGUAGGGGCGUGCGGAACUUCCGGUGGAGCGGUGAAAUGCGUAGAUAUCGGAAGGAACACCGGUGGCGAAAGCGGCGCGCUGGACCUCUUCUGACGCUGAGGCGCGAAAGCCAGGGGAGCAAACGGG